GGAUGUGAGGACGAUCUGGCCGUGACAUGUUACCCCACUGAUCGCCAGGGUUGAUUCAGCUGAUCUGGGUGGCUAGGCGGGUGGCCCCUUCCUCCCUCACUGCUCCAUGUGUGUCCCUCCGGAAGCUGUGUGCUCAGUCAAAGAGGACGACCAUCCCUGAUAGAGGAGGACCAUUCUUCAGUCGGUCAAGGGUAUAUGAGUAGCUGCAUUCCCCUGCUAGAACCUCCAAACAAGCUCUCAAGGAAUUAAUGUUUCUGAGGACCCAGUUAGCUCAUUCAUUUACAUCUCAAAGGCACUAGAAGAAAAACACUGAUUUCUUC
ensembl:misc_RNA 7SK 7SK RNA